CUACGGAGCAGCAGUGGGGAUAUGCACAAUGGGGAAACCCUGAUGCAGGGACGCAAGCGUGCGGGAUGACGGCCUUCGGGUUGUAACCCGCUUCAGCAGGGAAGAAGCCCUUCGGGGUGACGUACUGCAGAAGAAGUACCGGCUAACUACGUGCCAGCAGCCGCGGUAAUACGUAGGGUACAAGCGUUGUCCGGAAUUAUUGGGCGUAAAGAGCUCGUAGGUGGUUGGUCACGUCUGCUGUGGAAACGCAACGCUUAACGUUGCGCGUGCAGUGGGUACGGGCUGACUAGAGUGCAGUAGGGGAGUCUGGAAUUCCUGGUGUAGCGGUGAAAUGCGCAGAUAUCAGGAGGAACACCGGUGGCGAAGGCGGGACUCUGGGCUGUAACUGACACUGAGGAGCGAAAGCAUGGGGAGCGAACAGGAUUAGAUACCCUGGUAGUCCAUGCCGUAAACGUUGGGCACUAGGUGUGAGGGACAUUCCACGUUCUCCGCGCCGUAGCUAACGCAUUAAGUGCCCCGCCUGGGGAGUACGGUCGCAAGGCUAAAACUCAAAGGAAUUGACGGGGGCCCGCACAAGCGGCGGAGCAUGCGGAUUAAUUCGAUGCAACGCGAAGAACCUUACCAAGGCUUGACAUACACCAGACCGUUCUGGAAACAGUUCCUCCCCUUUGGGGUUGGUGUACAGGUGGUGCAUGGUUGUCGUCAGCUCGUGUCGUGAGAUGUUGGGUUAAGUCCCGCAACGAGCGCAACCCUCGUUCUAUGUUGCCAGCACGUGAUGGUGGGAACUCAUGGGAGACUGCCGGGGUCAACUCGGAGGAAGGUGGGGAUGACGUCAAAUCAUCAUGCCCUUUAUGUCUUGGGCUUCACGCAUGCUACAAUGGCUGGUACAGAGAGAUGCGAGACCGCGAGGUUUUAGCGAAUCCCUUAAAGCCAGUCUCAGUUCGGAUCGUAGUCUGCAAUUCGACUACGUGAAGUCGGAGUCGCUAGUAAUCGCAGAUCAG
rnacentral:rRNA from 1 species